rnacentral:lncRNA from 1 species
CCACGACUUACUGUCAUUUCUAUUUAUGAUAAUUUUGGAGAUUGCUUCUGAUUUGGGAGCCUCAGCAUGUGCAGUUUGUACAAGCCCCACCAUUUGCUUGAUCUUCGCAUGCAGGGCAGUUGAAAAUUAUGUGUGGCUGGAGUUGAUAUCACCAGCCUGCUGCAUGCCAGGGUUGGACUGACAGCAAAAUUAUAGUGCCCUCUUAAUGGAGCUUGUGAAGACACAAAUGUUUCUUCCAACUGAAGGAAUUCAAAGGUGAGUGCCUUAUACCUUUUCAAACAUUUUUACAAAUACUGUAGAACUUUUGCAUAAAGACUCUGUAUUACUGAAGAAAUAUAAAGUAGUAGCUGGACAUCACUAAUGUCAGCAACACUGGGAAGAUU